UGGCUUUGGGUAACUGGUGGGGGCUUUCGGUAGCUGGUGGUGGCUUUGGGUAGCUUAUGGUGGUUUUGGGUAGCUGGUAGAUGCUUUGGGUAGCUGGUGGUGUCUUUGGUUAGUCUGUGGUGGCUUUGGGAAGCUUCUGGUGGCUUUGGGUAGCUUGUGGUGGCUUUAGGUAGCUUGUGGUAGCUUUGGAUAGCUUGUGGUGGCUUUGUGUAGCUUGUGGUGGCUUUGGGUAGCUUUGGGUAAUUCUAUGGACCUGUUCCUUGAAUGAGAGAUAGUUGGUUCUGGAAUUGUUUUUAUUGCUGUGUUCACCUUUCUCCAAAGCAGCUAUGUCUUUCUGAAGAUGAGGUCUCUAUGCUUGGAUGUAAUAAUCCAAGUGCGGGGCAUUACGCAUUGUUCAUAAUAUACUAUAUAAAACAUGUUAUGUUUGCUUAAAAGAGGAGGAAUGACAUCGUAUGACUACUCUUGGGGCCCUUUUCAAAUUCCCACUCAAUGUCUGGGGAACCUUGACCAUGGGGGUCCUAAAUGCAGAAACUGGGAAACUCUCCCAUAUGGACUUGGGAGAGUAGAAGGACUAGAACCCUAUCCAGGUUGUUCAAUACAAAAUUGUGCCAAUAAUAAAAUUUCCAUAACGGUGACACAAACCUUGUGUACAGUAUAUACAAAAUGCAAAAUUUUAUCUCUAAGUUUUGUGUUAUUUGAUUAGGAUAUGUUGGUUUCAACUGUUGUGAUGAUAUACAUAUUAAACUUUUUCCAGGUCCUAGACCCUACUCCAAAAAUGACUAUAAAGAAUGCAUUUUAUUUGCUUGUGAAUAAUACAAUGCAGUGUAGAAUCUAUAAAAUUUUGCUAUUGCAGUUUUUGUGUAUUUUCUAGAUACAGUAGCACUAUAUUCUUUCUUAAGAGUAAUUUCUAUGUAAUGUUAUACCCAUUUGUGCGUAUAUAGUUUGGGUCAUUGUCAUUGUUAAGUGCAGUGAUGGAACUGGGUCGGAUGUACUCUGCUAGUUUAGGUACCUAGUGUUUGCAGCAUUGUGACCAUUAUUAUUGUGUUCAAAAUACAUUAUUUUAUUUUGUGAUUUUCAGGCUAUCAGCUGUUUGCAUGCUAUGCAGUUGUGACAUCUAUUGCUGUCUGCUUCUACAACAAAAUGUACAAGAAGAUCAAGUAUGGGGAGCCGGUCGGUUGAGCGGACAGCACGCUGGACUUGUGAUCCUGUGGUCCUGGGUUCAAUCCCAGGCGCCGGCGAGAAACAUUGGGCAGAGUUUCUUUCACUCUAUGCCCCUGUUACCUAGCAGUAAAAUAGGCGAAAUUGAUGGCGAAUGUUGAAGGUUGGGAGGUUGGUAAAUAUUACAGUGAACCCAUCUUCAAAACUGUACCUGACAAGCGCUAUAUUGACUCCAUCAUCCAAGAGUACUACAUUCAUGGUCCCUCAUCCAACUACAUUUUUGGCCCCUACUUUUCCCUCUUCACUUGACCAGUGACUGAUGGAAUAAAAAUUUGUGGUACUGUACUACUGUAUCCCUCUGAUCAACUGCUUAAAUUUGUAGGUUUUCAUGUAUCUAGUUUGAAAGUCUACACAUGAUGUAAUAUGAACAUACCUGCAUAACACAAAUAAAUUUGUCAUAUGUUAAAAUGUGCAUGCCAACUGAAAUAGAAAAUUUAAUAGUUAAAAA